rnacentral:tRNA from 1 species
UCCUCUGUAGUUCAGUCGGUAGAACGGCGGACUGUUAAUCCGUAUCUCACUGGUUCGAGUCCAGUCAGAGGAGCCAA